AUUACUUUGACAGAAUAAUGUAUUAAAUUUAGAAUUUAAAAAAGUAAUUUUAUAUUACAAGUAAUA
rnacentral:tRNA from 1 species